rnacentral:lncRNA from 1 species
GUAGUGGGGCACACUGCAAUACAGUAAACUCGGUAAGCGACUCCAAGUGAGCUGGGUCCUUUUACACAUUAUAAAGAGAAAUAGAUCGAAAUGCUAAUGCAUGGAGGUCAAGGGCGUUUAUACUAUCACUCCAAAAUGAGGUAUCACACAGAUAUAUCACAUUAAAAUUAACCUUUCAGUAUAUCGGUAUGAACUUAUAUGACACCUUAUAUAUUGAUGCAUACACUAGGCUAAAUCGAUCUCUAGCUUCAAAGAGAGAAGCACUGUCGCAGCUGGUUCACCAACAAUAGAUUGCGCAGAAGAGGUAGGACAUGAGAAAGAUCGACCGUUUAAGCUUAAAUUGUGAUAUUUAUAUGUGGUAAAAUUUCACGAGCUGUAUGAUUAUUUGAAUAACUAAUGGUAGUUACUUCGAUAUACUAAGUAAUGUUUAGUUGAACAUAAAGUGAAAAAAGAAUGUGAGGCUUCUAAGUAUAAAUGGAAUAUUUUCCUACCACCAAUACUUUUAGCAGCAUCUUUAAGACUCCCUGCAAAGUACUGCCUAAGAACCUGCAAGCUGAUUGUCUUCUCCAUCUUGGUUCGUCUCUUCUUACCUGCUUUUUUACGUGCUAAAAUGUGACGUCCGCCAGAUGAGGAGGAGUCACCACCUCCUCCCUCAAGACUAGCUAUGCUUCCAGCAUUUUGAUGAAGCAGCCCAAAAUCUGAAAGUACAUGCUUAUUAAAUAACUCUUGCCGAGUUUCUUCCCAACUGGUUGUCAUCUUGAACUCUUCUUUUGGUUCUUCUUUUUGAUAUUCCCAGGAGACAUAAACACCUUUCCCCUUCUGUUGGGCCUCCAUCAUGUGGGCAAUCCAUGAUGACUCCUCUGGGGAGUUCUCGUUUGGAGAAG